GGGGGGGAGGGGGAACAGAGGGAAAGGCCUAGAGCGUCUCUUUCAGCAAGAAUGUUGCCGAUGAGACUGGCCAUGGGUUACACGCUGUCAGCAUUUGCAAAGGAGCUGCCUGCCUGGAUUAUCUUCACUGGGAUCUUCCUGCCAGUGGUUUUGCUCCUAUUGUUGCUCAUUGCCUACUUCAGGAUCAAGCUGAUAGAGGUUAACGAGGAAUUGGCCAUGGCUGAUGAUCCCACAAAUGCCAUCCUGAAUUUCCACAUCCGGUACCAGAAACUGAGAUCUGAAAGAAAGAGAUUAACCAAAAGAACAUAAUGACAUUUAAGGGAGGUUCACCUCAGAAAACUGGUUCGACACUAGCAGUCAACUCAGGAGGUUUAAAAGUAACCUGCUGUAUUACAAAAGAUAUGGGGGGAACAAAAUGGUGGGAAGUUAGUACAGAACACUACAAAUGAAGCAGCUGCUGCUAUCUGAAAAGGCCUGGUAACAGUUUUGCUUUCUCUACAUGAUAUUAGUAAGCAACACUUUCCUGAACUCAUCAGCACCUGUGACUUAAUGCAAUGUACUUUAUCGGUUGGCUUCGGAGACACAGCAUUUGGAAAAAAAAACCUCAUUGCUCACUAUUCCUUAGAUGCUUAUAUCAAAUAGAAAUAGCUAUUGGAGUGUCUUCACGUGACAGCUGAAGUCUAUGUAGGUCUAUGAAUCAGCAGCAGUCUUGUUGAAUCACAGGUGCAUGAACAGCAGGUUAACAUGAAUUACUUUUUUUUAACAUACAUAUUGACAAAAGCAUGCUCUCUGAACUGAUGAGAAACUAUAGAAAAACUUGAAAAGUGAAAGACAAUAGUGAUGGAAGGAAAAAAAGGAUUUCUUCAUUUAUUUUUCCUGUUUCAUAUUUCACUAAACUCACCUCCAGUUCAUACUGUAUUAUAUUCUGUUUGUGAGACAGAGUAUUCAAGUUGGUACACCUGCCACCAAACCAUGGAAAGAAGCAACACAUAUCUUCUUAAAGGAUCUGAGUUAUUUUAGUUUGGAAGCACAAAGAAGAACUCUUACAAUACUUAAAUAAGGGGAUGAGUUUUUUAAACUAACAGGUGUAAAUAUGUUGUGAAAUUCUUUCUCCAUAAUGUUUUUUCGUUAGUUGGAAACAAUUUUAUGUUCAAUGUAAUUAUAAAUAUAGCUUCAUCGCCAUGUGUCUGAAACAGAUCACCUUACAAGAAUGUACCAGUGGCCAUUAUUAGAAGAAAGCAACUAAGAAGCCAAAUAGCAAUCAACUUCACCAUGCACAAAGUCUUCUCUGUAUUACAAUUUAAUCUCAUUCCUCUUGCUUCAAAUUCAUGACAAAUGGCAUUACUUUACAUCUGCACACACAGUUUACUGUACAUUGUACUGUAUCAUACUGCAUAUGCAGAAGGGAGCUGAAUUAAGUCUGCAUGGGCAAUGUUCAUAUUGGCAUUUCCUAACUUGUGCAUGUUUGACUUUGCAACCUUUUAAUUCUUAAUUUUAUAUCUCCUAAUAUGGUUUAACUUGAGAAUAACCAUAACUAAUGUUAAAUAAAGGGUUUUUUUUGUUUGGGAAUUUAAAUUGGGACUGAAGCAAGAAUUAUAUGAAUGUAUUCAGAUCAAGCCAUGAAAGUGGAAUAUUACAAUGAGUGGCGACUACAUAUAUCGAUACAUUUUCUAAUGCCUUGUAAACCUGAUAAAAUGAAAGAGGUUUAUCGAGCUUUCUUUCAGAACAGGCUAUUUAAUUUUAUAGUCUCAGUAGAAUGUGGACUAGAUCCAUUGAAUGUCAAACCAUCUUUGUGUAAUUGUAGAGAAUCCAAACUUCACUUUACUUUUUUGUAAACUCUAUCAAUUUAAUAUGCAAUUUCUUCAUUCAGUCAAUAAAAAAUAAUUUUACUGGUUAA